GUUCAGUCCUUUAUUAUCAAGCGGGG
rnacentral:piRNA from 1 species